GAUGAACGCUGGCGGCGUGCCUAAUACAUGCAAGUCGAGCGAACGGACGAGAAGCUUGCUUCUCUGAUGUUAGCGGCGGACGGGUGAGCAACACGUGGAUAACCUACCUAUAAGACUGGGAUAACUUCGGGAAACCGGAGCUAAUACCGGAUAAUAUUUUGAACCGCAUGGUUCAAAAGUGAAAGACGGUCUUGCUGUCACUUAUAGAUGGAUCCGCGCUGCAUUAGCUAGUUGGUAAGGUAACGGCUUACCAAGGCAACGAUGCAUAGCCGACCUGAGAGGGUGAUCGGCCACACUGGAACUGAGACACGGUCCAGACUCCUACGGGAGGCAGCAGUAGGGAAUCUUCCGCAAUGGGCGAAAGCCUGACGGAGCAACGCCGCGUGAGUGAUGAAGGUCUUCGGAUCGUAAAACUCUGUUAUUAGGGAAGAACAUAUGUGUAAGUAACUGUGCACAUCUUGACGGUACCUAAUCAGAAAGCCACUGCUAACUACGUG
rnacentral:rRNA from 1 species